rnacentral:rRNA from 1 species
GCUGGCGGCAGGCCUAACACAUGCAAGUCGAGCGGAUGAAGGGAGCUUGCUCCCUGAUUUAGCGGCGGACGGGUGAGUAAUGCCUAGGAAUCUGCCUGGUAGUGGGGGAUAACGUUCCGAAAGGAAGCGCUAAUACCGCAUACGUCCUACGGGAGAAAGUGGGGGAUCUUCGGACCUCACGCUAUCAGAUGAGCCUAGGUCGGAUUAGCUAGUAGGUGAGGUAAUGGCUCACCUAGGCGACGAUCCGUAACUGGUCUGAGAGGAUGAUCAGUCACACUGGAACUGAGACACGGUCCAGACUCCUACGGGAGGCAGCAGUGGGGAAUAUUGGACAAUGGGCGAAAGCCUGAUCCAGCCAUGCCGCGUGUGUGAAGAAGGUCUUCGGAUUGUAAAGCACUUUAAGUUGGGAGGAAGGGUACUUACCUAAUACGUGAGUAUUUUGACGUUACCGACAGAAUAAGCACCGGCUAACUUCGUGCCAGCAGCCGCGGUAAUACGAAGGGUGCAAGCGUUAAUCGGAAUUACUGGGCGUAAAGCGCGCGUAGGUGGUUCGUUAAGUUGGAUGUGAAAGCCCCGGGCUCAACCUGGGAACUGCAUCCAAAACUGGCGAGCUAGAGUACGGUAGAGGGUGGUGGAAUUUCCUGUGUAGCGGUGAAAUGCGUAGAUAUCGGGAGGAACACCAG